AUUAAUUAUAUUAUUUAAUUAUCAUUCUAUUAAAUUAUUUUUUAUGUUAUCAAAUUACGUAAUCAAAUAUGCAAUAUAAUCAUCCAAAUCUGAUUACAUUAUUAACGAACAUCACCUAUACAUAAGCUAAGUUGUUUGCAAUGAUUAAAUAUUUUCUAUGGGUUUUUGCUUAAUUAAACUAAACUGCAUUCUGUUUAGUUUAAAUUGUUCUCUGAGUCGAACGGUGAGAGACACCUGAAGAAGAUACCUUGUUACAUUGACAAAAAAGAACAAAACCAUCAAUAUAUUCGCCUCCAAGUAGACCUGGCCACCAGGUCCAAGUCAAUUCCAAAUCAGAAUCAGCAAUUUCAAUCUUUUAGCGAUUCGGUUCACAUGGCGCCUCCCCGUGUUCACAUUGCCAAGCCAAAACACCAAUUCCAGUUCAAGGUCGAGGACGGGAGCCAAAACUUUAAUCAAUUGCUUCUUAUGAUUGAGAGUGCUGCUCCUCAAUUAAAGUUUGAACU
rnacentral:misc_RNA from 1 species